rnacentral:rRNA from 1 species
AGGACGAACGCUGGCGGCGUGCUUAACACAUGCAAGUCGAGCGGUAAGGCCCUUUCGGGGGUACACGAGCGGCGAACGGGUGAGUAACACGUGGGUGACCUGCCCUUAGCUCUGGGAUAAGCCUGGGGAACUGGGUCUAAUACCGGAUAUGACCUCGCGAUGCAUGUCGUGGGGUGGAAAGCCUUGUGCGGCUAGGGAUGGGCCCGCGGCCUAUCAGCUUGUUGGUGGGGUGAUGGCCUACCAAGGCGACGACGGGUA